GAUGAACGCUGGCGGCGUGCCUAACACAUGCAAGUCGAACGGAAAGACCCUGAUUUUGUGGGGCUCUCGAGUGGCGAACGGGUGCGUAACACGUGUGUAACCUGCCCUUGACUUUGGGAUAACUUCAGGAAACUGGGGCUAAUAUCGGAUAGGAGCUCCUGCUGCGUGGUGGGGGUUGGAAAGUUUCGGCGUUUGGGGAUGGACUGGCUGCUUAACGGCUUGUUGGUGGGGUAGUGGAUGUCCAAGCCUUUGGAGGGUAGCCAGCCUGGGAGGGUGACCGGCGACCUUGGGACUGAGGGAAGGCACAGGCUGGUACGGGAGGCAACAGGGGGAAAUCUUGCCCAAUGGGCGGAGGCCGGAUGCAGCAACGCCGCGUGCGGGAAGACGGCCUUCGGGGUGUAAACCGCUUUCGCCUGUGACGAAGCGUGAGUGACGGUAAUGGGUAAAGAAGCACCGGCUAACUACGUG
rnacentral:rRNA from 1 species